GUAAAGGAUCGAAUGAAGGCUUCUGUCAUGUUGGUACACGUAAUUCAUGGGAACCUCUUAAAAAGCCAAAUGUUUUGGUGCAUUUAAAGUACAUAAAAACAAUAACAGAUUCGGUCAAAAAAUAAUUUUUUAAACUUAAUCCAUAUGCUACUAAUAUUGAAUAUUUCAUUCGAAAGCUUGUUUUAAAUUUAUUGUACAUUCCCAUUGUUGAGUUUUACCCUGGCAAAAUGCUUCUACCAUUUUAGUAAACUAUAAAGAUGUUGGAAACACCCUGGAUUGUUAAAAUGUGCAUUAACAUCUUUGUCAUUUAUAUGAAAAUUUAUAUAAUUUGGACAAAUCUUUUUUAAGUGUGUUGAAUUUUAAUUAACCUGUAUUCUGUAUGUCGAAGUAUAUUUUAUCAUCAGUUGUUAUUAAGCAUACAAUGCAUACACUAUUCGUCCUCAUUUUGAUAUUUACAUUCCUUGAUUUAUAUAAAUACAUGUACAGGUAGUUUAUUAAGAUUCAUGACAUUCAACCUACAUAUUGUGUGCCCAUUCUGUAUCAUAACAAAAGGUACCUGCUAAUUUCCAAUAUCAAUGAGUCAAUGUGAUAUUCAUUGAGUAUAUUAAGAGCUAUUGGACUUUAUAACCAAAUUGAAUUUUCACCAGAUGAUGUUAUUACUUUGUUAAUAAGUAUAUACCCAUUUAUAUGUUGCCAGUAUUUAUCAUGACACGCAAAUCAAGUGAAGCUGCUUAACAUCCAUUUAUGUACAUGUAUUUUUACUACAAAUGUGGUUUACUAAUGAAUACACAAGAACUGUACUUGAAAUUUAACGGGGGAAUUCGUGUGCAUUUAUUAUUUUGUAAUCAAAAGUGUUCAUAGACCAAUAUGCUAGGUUAGCAUUUUAGUUGUUUAAACUUGUGCCAUAUACACGUCAACUCUCAUUGGAAAAGAGAACUCUUGCCCAAUUUCAAUGGACCUUAAUUAUUUGUGAAACACCACCAUUUUGUGGUUUGUUAUGAUGUCUCAAUUUCAUGUCCUAGGUUUAAACAUGUCACAGACUCUUUGUGUUACUAUUGCAAUUAUGUGUGAACACAAUAACUGAACAUGGUUCAUUAGGUUGAAAUAAAAUUUUCAUCAUGAUUGUCAUGAUUGCAG
rnacentral:misc_RNA from 1 species